rnacentral:rRNA from 1 species
AUUGAACGCUGGCGGCAUGCCUUACACAUGCAAGUCGAACGGCAGCAUGACGUGUAGCAAUACACGUUGAUGGCGAGUGGCGAACGGGUGAGUAAUAUAUCGGAACAUGUCCUGUAGCGGGGGAUAACCUAUCGAAAGAUGGACUAAUACCGCAUACGCUCUAUGGAGGAAAGCGGGGGUCGGCAAGACCUCGCACUAUAGGAGUGGCCGANAUCGGAUUAGCUAGUUGGCGGGGUAAAAGGCCACCAAGGCGACGAUCCGUAGCUGGUCUGAGAGGAUGAUCAGCCACACUGGAACUGAGACACGGUCCAGACUCCUACGGGAGGCAGCAGUGGGGAAUUUUGGACAAUGGGCGCAAGCCUGAUCCAGCAUGCCGCGUGAGUGAAGAAGGCC